UACGUAGGCAGCAAGCGUUGUUCGGAAUUACUGGGCGUAAAGAGUACGUAGGUGGUUUGCCAAGUCCGAUGUGAAAUCUCCUGGCUUAACUGGGAGGGUGCGUUAGAUACUGGCAGGCUUGAGUGUGGGAGAGGAGAGCGGAAUUCCUGGUGUAGCGGUGAAAUGCGUAGAUAUCAGGAGGAACGCCUGUGGUGUAGACGGCUCUCUGGACCAUUACUGACACUGAGGUACGAAAGCGUGGGUAG
rnacentral:rRNA from 1 species